CAAUCUUUUCUGCCUGGAUCCGCACCUCAGCGUAAACAAAGCACCUUCAGAUUGAAAGGGGUACAAUUUGUUUGUUGAUUUGAACAACUCAGGUGUAACUGAAGGGUUUCAAUGGCUCUUUAGUUGGGCCAGAAAGGCACAUAUGAACCUUUAGUUGGGCCUUCAGUCGAGAUCGAAGACUUCUGCUCGCGGAGAAUACUCUCCCGGUCCCGACCGAUGCCGCUUCCUUCCCCCGUCCGCCGACGGCGCAUCCUCCUCCUCCUGUAGCUGGUCGCAGAUUGAGUGCGAGUCAUGGAUAUUAUCUCUCAGCUACAAGAGCAAGUGAACGCCAUGGGCUUGCUUAUCUUGAAUACCUUUGGAACCCUGCAGAGAGAUGCUCCCCCUGUCCGUCUGUCACCUAACUAUCCUGAGCCAGCAGCUAAUGCUUCAGAAGAGACCAUUGACAUUAUGGAGCAUCCAAAGACAAUGAGUGCCGCUCUAGUUGAAGCUGCAAAGAAGUUUGAUGUCCUUGUUACUGCCUUGCCCUUAUCAGGGGAAGAGGCUCAGCUCAAAAGAAUUGCAGAACUCCAGGCAGAGAAUGAAGCAGUGCGUUUGGAGCUUCAAAAACAACUAGAGGCCACAGGCAUGUUGUGUUCCUACCAUUCUAGAAUGGAGUUUUUCAGUUUUCUUGUUUGUAAUGGGACUACAUCAAAUCAUAUUAUUUUUUAUAUGAUGGUUUAUUUGAUCCAAAGCCAUACACUGUGUUUUAUGAAAUCUGGACCAAAGUUUGAGAAACUAGCAUUAGCUCGCUUUUGUAUGAAAAACACGAUACAAUAAAGGUGGUUUAUCCUUUGAUAUUUCAUUUUAAUGAAAGAUCAUAAAGAUAGACAAUACUUGUUUCCAUAUUCUCAUUGCAACUACAAAUUUAUUCGCUGAACAAAAUGAAAGAAGAUUCCAGUUACCUUUUUCUCUUCAUGCCUUAGGUAACAUUAUGCCUUAUUUUCACAGCCUACUUUCGUCUUGUUGAUUCAGAUAUAUUAAUACUUGGGAAGUCAAAGAAUACAGAAAACUGAUGUUUCUCUAAUGCACUCUUUGGUAAAAGAAGCAUACCAAAGAUACGGAAAAUGCUUCCUAGUGUUAUUUUUUUUGUUUUUGUAUAUUAAUUAUCGUUUACCAAAGUGUCCAAUGUAAAGUAAUUCUUCCUACAAUUUACUAUUCUAACUUGUUUAGCUUUUCUAAUGUAAGGUACUAGAUAGGUGAAUUAUUAUAGAUAACAUGAUAUAUGUUUAGCUUGCAAAUGGUAUAUAAUGGUGUUAAAUUGUGGAGUCUCAUGAAUUUAAUUCUUUUUGGACAAUUUAUUUUAACACAGAGAAAGAGUUGAAGCAGGUUCAGGAGCUCUUCGAUGAAGCGGCAGAUAACUGUUUGAACCUUAAAAAACCUGUUUAAUCAAAGUGCCAAGCACACAUGGUACUAGAGAUCCCUUCUUAUGAUGUGGGGGUUGAGCAGCAGCAGAGACAUUCUUUGAGCUGUGGGUCUUUGUAUAUUGAGUUUUUGGGAACCUGAAGUUCCAAAUUAUGCGUGAUUUGUAGUGCCAUUCGAUAGUUUCAACGUAAAAAAUAGCUUUCAGCAUAAGAUUUGUUUGGAUGUUAAA